CCUACGGGAGGCAGCAGUAGGGAAUAUUGGGCAAUGGAGGCAACUCUGACCCAGCCAUGCCGCGUGCAGGAUGAAGGCGUUAUGCGUUGUAAACUGCUUUUAUAUAGGAAGAAAGAGUUCUUGCGAGAACAGUUGACGGUACUAUAUGAAUAAGCACCGGCUAACUCCGUGCCAGCAGCCGCGGUAAUACGGAGGGUGCAAGCGUUGUCCGGAUUUAUUGGGUUUAAAGGGUGCGUAGGCGGUUUAUUAAGUCAGUGGUGAAAGACGGUCGCUCAACGAUUGCAGUGCCAUUGAUACUGGUAGACUUGAGUGAGAUUGAGGUAGCUGGAAUGGAUAGUGUAGCGGUGAAAUGCAUAGAUAUUAUCCAGAACACCAAUUGCGUAGGCAAGUUACUAAGUCUCAACUGACGCUGAGGCACGAAAGUGUGGGUAUCAAACAGGAUUAGAUACCCUGGUAGUCCACACUGUAAACGAUGAUAACUAACUGUUGGCUUUCGGGUCAGUGGUACAGAGAAAUGUUAACCCGUUAUCCCACCGUCGGGUAGGUACGGCCGGCCGACGGUACGUAAACGUUAAACGUUAAGUAAGUUAGUACGGACGUGAGACGUACGACCGACGGACGACGACGAGGGGAGGAGG
rnacentral:rRNA from 1 species